GGGUGGGCACUGUGUGUAGCAUUUAGCCUCUCCCUCUAUCCCCCUCUUGCUGUCACUGAUAUAGAUCUAUUUCAUAGGAAUUCCCUCUCCUAUAAUUCCAGCUGUUAGAGACAGAUCGUUACUGUUAUUCACAGGAUACAAAGUUACUACACCCUCCCAGGAUGUCAUGCUACUAAGCAGUUUCUGUACCAAUUCUUGUUUCAAUGUGAAGAACACGGACAUUCAUUUGGUAAAGACUACCACAGCAAAGCCCACUCCAUGUCUGUAUCAAUAUACAUUGCAG